GGGGGGGGGGGGGGUGUUGUUGUGCGGCGCGGAGUGGGGGAGGGUGAGGUUUCUCGAAGAUAUAAAACAAAGAUAUUCAACACACUUUGUUCUACUAAAUCUAUACAAGAGUUUAUUAAUAAUGAUUGUUAAAGUUGAGUAGUUUUGCCAAUAAAAAUUGAAGUUUAAUGACUAUUGAAUUUAGCAGCAAGUUCAAUGGCAAUAGGUGAAACUAAAUAAGAAAAAAAAUAACCCCAAAUUUCAGAAAAGCAAACUGAAAAUAUCCACCAGAAAAAAAGAUACCUUCCUACCAGCAGC
rnacentral:misc_RNA from 1 species